rnacentral:rRNA from 1 species
UACGAAGGGGCUAGCGUUGUUCGGAAUUACUGGGCGUAAAGCGCACGUAGGCGGAUUUGUAAGUCAGGGGUGAAAUCCCGGGGCUCAACCUCGGAACUGCCUUUGAUACUGCAAGUCUCGAGUCCGAUAGAGGUGAGUGGAAUUCCUAGUGUAGAGGUGAAAUUCGUAGAUAUUAGGAAGAACACCAGUGGCGAAGGCGGCUCACUGGAUCGGUACUGACGCUGAGGUGCGAAAGCGUGGGGAGCAAACAGG